UGGGGAAUCCGGGGAGACAAACUUGAACGAAGGGGCUAGACAAUUUCAGAUAAAAUUCCAGGCUCCUUUCCCCAUUCCAGGUCCAGCCUCCUGCUUGAUCAGCUGAGACGGCAGAAGCCAAAGCUACUCGAGCUCCCGGGGUCACUGUCAGGAAGGAGGUACCCACAGCCCGGACGAAGCCGGUGUGCCCAUCGCUCCUGGGGAUACUGCACACCUCCUUAGCCCGGCCCCAGGUGCCUGUUCUUAGCCCACCGUGCAGGUGAGACUUCGCACCCUGGCACCACCUCCAGGAGGCCAGCUGCUUGACCUUGGAGGGCUGUGUCUUCUCCAAGAGGAGGGGUUACUACGAGGGCACCAUGCCUGGC